CUCAAAUUUGAAAUCUGGUACCUUCGGUGCCCGAGUUGUAAUUUGGAGAGGGCAACUUUGGGGCCGUUCCUUGUCUAUGUUCCUUGGAACAGGACGUCAUAGAGGGUGAGAAUCCCGUGUGGCGAGGAGUGCGGUUCUUUGUAAAGUGCCUUCGAAGAGUCGAGUUGUUUGGGAAUGCAGCUCUAAGUGGGUGGUAAAUUCCAUCUAAAGCUAAAUAUUGGCGAGAGACCGAUAGCGAACAAGUACAGUGAUGGAAAGAUGAAAAGAACUUUGAAAAGAGAGUGAAAAAGUACGUGAAAUUGUUGAAAGGGAAGGGCAUUUGAUCAGACAUGGUGUUUUGUGCCCUCUGCUCCUUGUGGGUAGGGGAAUCUCGCAUUUCACUGGGCCAGCAUCAGUUUUGGUGGCAGGAUAAAUCCAUAGGAAUGUAGCUUGCCUCGGUAAGUAUUAUAGCCUGUGGGAAUACUGCCAGCUGGGACUGAGGACUGCGACG
rnacentral:rRNA from 1 species